rnacentral:misc_RNA from 1 species
GAUGAAGAACGUAGCGAAAUGCGAUAAGUAAUGUGAAUUGCAGAAUUCCGUGAAUCAUCGAAUCUUUGAACGCACAUUGCGCCCGCCAGCAUUCUGGCGGGCAUGCCUGUUCGAGCGUCAUUUCAACCCUCGAGCCCCCCCGGGGGCCUCGGUGUUGGGGGACGGCACACCAGCCGCCCCCGAAAUGCAGUGGCGACCCCGCCGCAGCCUCCCCUGCGUAGUAGCACACACCUCGCACCGGAGCGCGGAGGCGGUCACGCCGUAAAACGCCCAACUUUCUUAGAGUUGACCUCGGAUCAGGUAGGAAUACCCGCUGAACUUAAGCAUAUCAAUAAGCGGAGGA